rnacentral:lncRNA from 1 species
CCACUCCAGGGAAUGCUUCUUUAGCCAGGGGAGCCAACUGGUCUCUUUCAUGUAUUAAGUAUUGUAAGCUAUUCAAAAUAUGAAGAACAAUUUUCCACAUCUAAGCCAACAUUUCUGUUACAAUUGAUAAAGGAAGUGAUUCUAGAAGAGUUAAUUGAAGUGUAUCUCAUCUCCUUCCCAGUAACAGUAUGUAGUUACUGUUUCACAAGUUUCCUCCAGACCAAAUAUUAUUUUGAAGAAUGCAUCAGUCCACGAUUUGAGUUCCUUGGUGUUCUGUUUCAUAAGAAUUUUGUGUAAUUCCUAUAAUACAGUAGUGCUUUAUUAUGUUUGAAUGGACAAAUCAAGAUAACUACCUGGAAAAGAGAAAACUGAGAUCAGGAUCUAUACCAAUUCCUGGGCAAAAGGCUAAUGAUCCAAUGGGAUGUGUAGUGACUUUGAAGGGGAAUCUUUACUGGACCAGUGCUUAUUGUUUGGAUGAACGGAGGCAAGAUGGUGCACUUCCGGGUUCUUCAUCCCCCCCAACUUUUCCGGCACGCGAGAAAAUGCAGCCGGCGACCCGGGAAGGUGCAGACCAACUAGGCAUGCGCCAGGUGAUGUCAAUCCGAAGAGACCAAGAUUUACCUGGUCGCACCUGCGGAACACCCCCCGACACACCCGUGCCCCGCCUAUCGCCCUCCCACUCCUAGAAAAGCCGCUCUGGACGAAUGCCACGCACGGACUUCCCAGCUUCCCCACUGCGGUCGGGACUGUGGGAACUCCGUCCGAGAGCUCCAUGGGCG